rnacentral:rRNA from 1 species
UACGGAGGGGGCUAGCGUUGUUCGGAAUUACUGGGCGUAAAGCGCACGUAGGCGGCUUUGUAAGUUAGAGGUGAAAGCCCGGGGCUCAACCCCGGAAUAGCCUUUAAGACUGCAUCGCUUGAACACGGGGAGAGGUGAGUGGAAUUCCGAGUGUAGAGGUGAAAUUCGUAGAUAUUCGGAAGAACACCAGUGGCGAAGGCGGCUCACUGGACCGUUGUUGACGCUGAGGUGCGAAAGCGUGGGGAGCAAACAGGAUUGAGAAACCC